CACAAGCGGUGGAGCAUGUGGUUUAAUUCGAUGCAACGCGAAGAACCUUACCUGGGCUUGACAUCCCUGGAAUCCCCUGGAAACAGGGGAGUGCCCUUCGGGGAGCCAGGAGACAGGUGCUGCAUGGCUGUCGUCAGCUCGUGUCGUGAGAUGUUGGGUUAAGUCCCGCAACGAGCGCAACCCUUGUCUUUAAUUGCCAUCAUUCAGUUGGGCACUUUAAAGAGACUGCCGGUGUUAAACCGGAGGAAGGUGGGGAUGACGUCAAGUCCUCAUGGCCCUUAUAGGUGGGGCUACACACGUCAUACAAUGGAUGGUACAAAGGGUCGCCAACCCGCGAGGGGGAGCCAAUCCCAUAAAGCCAUUCGUAGUCCGGAUCGCAGUCUGCAACUCGACUGCGUGAAGUCGGAAUCGCUAGUAAUCGUGGAUCAGGAUGUCACGGUGAAUACGUUCCCGGGUCUU
rnacentral:rRNA from 1 species